rnacentral:misc_RNA from 1 species
UGGGUAUUUCAGAAAACUAAAGAAGAGGGGGUGGGGUGUGGGUUGGGGGUGUUUGGUUACUAAUUUGAACCUGUUGUUGAAAUAUCUAAGAUUCCAUGCUCAAUGACUGAGUUAAGGCUUAAUUUGUGCUUGAAUAAUUUCUGAGGCUGUAAGCUCCAUCAACCACAACAUUCAAACCACUCACAAACUUAGAUUCCUCACUUCCAAGAUACAGAGCAGCCUCUGCUACAUCAUUAGCAUCUACAGGUACUCCUUUAAGAAUUGCAUCAGCCAUGCAUGUUUCUUGCAGAGUCUUCAUAUCCACACCUCCCAUUGCCUUGGAAGCUAAAGGGGUGGGAAUUCCUCCUGGCGAUAUGCAAUUAACUCUAAUUCCAUGCUUCCCCAAUUCCACUGCCAAGUUCUUAGUUAACCCAACAACUGCAUGCUUUGCUGCUGUGUAGGCAUGUGGAAUCCCACAAUAGCACACUGAAGCGAUACUUGCAGUGAACAAAAUACACCCUUUUUUUUGCGGGAUCAUUACUCUUGCUGCAUGUUUGGCUCCCAAGAAUCCA